GAUGAACGCUGGCGGCGUGCCUAAUACAUGCAAGUCGAGCGAACAGAUGAGGAGCUUGCUCCUCUGACGUUAGCGGCGGGCGGGUGAGUAACACGUGGAUAACCUACCUAUAAGACUGGGAUAACUUCGGGAAACCGGAGCUAAUACCGGAUAAUAUAUUGAACCGCAUGGUUCAAUAGUGAAAGACGGUUUUGCUGUCACUUAUAGAUGGAUCCGCGCCGCAUUAGCUAGUUGGUAAGGUAACGGCUUACCAAGGCAACGAUGCGUAGCCGACCUGAGAGGGUGAUCGGCCACACUGGAACUGAGAAACGGUCCAGACUCCGACGGGAGGAAGCAGUAGGGAAUCUUCCGCAAUGGGCGAAAGCCUGACGGAGCAACGCCGCGUGAGUGAUGAAGGUCUUCGGAUCGUAAAACUCUGUUAUUAGGGAAGAACAAAUGUGUAAGUAACUAUGCACGUCUUGACGGUACCUAAUCAGAAAGCCACGGCUAACUACGUG
rnacentral:rRNA from 1 species